CAUCGUAUAGUUUAUGAAUUUAGAAUGUUAGUUUUGGGAACUAUUGGAUUUUAACGAUGA
rnacentral:tRNA from 1 species